ensembl:lncRNA
CACCGUUCACCUCAGGGCAGAAGGCCUGGUGGGAGGGCCGCACAUCAAGCCUCUCAUGUUUUGGUUCAACUUGAGUAAGAGGGGAAAUUCCCAGGAACCCCUCUGGGGCCUGAGACCCCCAACGCUGAGGGAGGCAGGGGCCCCGCCCGCCCCCUCGCAGACUAGGGUUUGUGUGCUUGUAUUUUUUUUUAUUCUCAAGAAAACUGCUGUUUUCCAGGCAGCUUCAAUUAAAGCGGGCCCCCUUACCUCGCUGGUUACAUUGUUUACAUUUCAAAGACCUAAUCCUCUUGUUGGGCCCAUAUUGUUUCUUGCGGGCUCUUAAUGAAAAGCGUUUGUCCGGGAUUACUCCUAACCAGCAAAUGCCAUCCCCCCAAGACAGUUAGGCUCUGCGGGACAGCCGCGUGGCUCCAGCGCCCGGGGCCUCUGCAGGGCGGGUGGCCUGGCCCGCUCGCCUCUGCUGCCCUCGGCCUGGGUGCCCCCGGCCGGCCCGGAGUCCAGGAGGCCUCACCAUGGGCACCGAGGGAGCAGGUCCUCCCUCAGGGAGGAACGGACUCGCGCAGGCUCCUGGCCUCCAGAGCUGGACGAGAAGAGAGUCGUGUUAUUUUAAGGCACCAAGUUCAUCAAGUCACCAUGGCCGACUGAUGCAGAAGGAGCCACUCUCACCCUGACCAUGGCUCUGCUCAGGGCCUGGUUGGGCCUGGGGGGCCCUGCCCUCCUUUGAUGAGGGUCCAGCUGGAAAGCCAUUAGCAGAUGCUGCCUCCACUCUCUACAAGCAGGACUGCUUUGUCCCUCCCAAUGCCACCCCCCGGCGAAGGUUGGGAUCCCAAGGAAAGCUGACGCAGGGACGAGGUGCCUUCAACAGGGCAUCCACGGUCCCCUCUGCCACCCUCGACCCCUCACCAACCUGAUCCUGGCUCUCCCUCCACCCACUGUUCCCUGGCUGCAGUGGGCGGUGGUGUAGACACGCUGCCCUCCAGCAGAACUAAUCAAGAAGAUUACAGGGCCCGCAUGUGAGAGAAGGCCUCGACUGCCGGGGGAGACCGGAGGAAAAUCCCCUGGUCCAUUUCCCCAAACUUGCCUUUGAUUUUUAAGGGUUUUUUUCCCAAACGUUUCUUCAUCGUGGAUUUCCGGAUGCGUCGUCCCCAGCGGCACAUACAACAAGUUUUGGCAAAAACCAAAGUCUUAUUUCUCCUUCGACUGGAGGAGGUUAAAGUGAUCCCCCCCAGAUGCACAAAGGAAUAAACUCCCCCAGCGCAAUUAAGGAGAAGGUGCCGGGAUGAAAAGAAUUCCAGCCUGUUGACAAACCGUGUUCUCGUUUUCAUGUAAAAGUCACAAGACGGAACUUGCCGUCCAUUUGGCUUGGGGGGAUCAGGGUUGGGGUUUAGAAUGGGGGUGGGAGGCUCGCAGGGGAGGCUGGAGGCUGCCGCUUCCCUGGAUAGGGGCCCGGGGCGCCCACCUUCAUGGCGCUGCUGGGCCCGCAGGGGCCCCGGACCCACAGAGCCUCCCGUCCACCCCAGGGGGCAAGGAGCUGCGGGGAGGGUGCUGCGGCAGCUCCCGGACCUUCCCAGGCCUCAGUCACGUCCCGUCCUGUGUAAGAUGUGGCUGAUGCCCGCCCGCCCGCCCGCAGGGCUGGGAGCUCAGAGAGGAGCCCCCGGGCACACUGAGCCUGGCUGGGGAAGCUCUCCAAACAGCAGCGCUGUCUGGGCUGUGGGUCCUUCCUCCCCCCACGACCCCUCAUGAGGAAGGCGAGCUCGCCCACUUGCUCUUGUAGAGGCCCAAGGAGGGGCACACAGGCAGCGCUUAGGAGUGGCUCGGUUCUUUGGCACUGCCUG